UACAGAGGUCUCGAGCGUUGUUCGGAUUCAUUGGGCGUAAAGGGUGCGUAGGUGGCGCCGUAAGUCGGAUGUGAAAACUCGGGGCUCAACCCCGAGCGUGCACCCGAUACUGCCGGGCUUGAGGCAGGUAGGGGAGAUCGGAAUUCCUGGUGUAGCGGUGAAAUGCGCAGAUAUCAGGAGGAACACCGGUGGCGAAGGCGGAUCUCUGGGCCUGUCCUGACGCUGAGGCGCGAAAGCUAGGGGAGCGAACAGG
rnacentral:rRNA from 1 species